rnacentral:rRNA from 1 species
UACGAAGGGGGCUAGCGUUGCUCGGAAUCACUGGGCGUAAAGCGCACGUAGGCGGAUUGCUAAGUCAGGGGUGAAAUCCUGGAGCUCAACUCCAGAACUGCCUUUGAUACUGGCGACCUUGAGUCCGGGAGAGGUGAGUGGAACUGCGAGUGUAGAGGUGAAAUUCGUAGAUAUUCGCAAGAACACCAGUGGCGAAGGCGGCUCACUGGCCCGGUACUGACGCUGAGGUGCGAAAGCCAGGGGAGCGAACGGG